rnacentral:rRNA from 1 species
GAUAAAAGAUUUUUUCUGGAAUGAUUAAUCUUUGAAAGCUAGCGUCAGGACGGGACUGCGGCUGAUUAGGUAGUUGGCGGGGUAACUGCCCACCAAGCCAAUGAUCAGUAAGGGCUCUUAGCGGAGAAGCCCUGAGAGGGAAUCUGAGACACUAUUCCCAGCCCUACGGGGUGCAGCAGUCGGGAGAAUUUUGCAAUGCACGCAAGUGUGACAGAGCAAGCCAAAGUGAUUUUCUAUAAUUGAAAAUCUUUUGUGGGAUCUAAACAGUCUCACGAUUAAGGACCGGGCAAGACUGGUGCCAGCCGCCGCGGUAAUCCCAGCGGUCCAAGUCGCAGCCACAUUUAUUGGGUCUAAAACAUCCGUAGCUCGCUUUGUAAGUCUCUUGUAAAAUCUGGCCUCUUAAGGGUCGGGCGCGCAAGAGAUACUGCUUAGCUAGAGACCGGGAGACGUAAGGAGUACGGUUAGGGUAGCGGUAAAAUGCGUUGAUCCUAAUUGGACUAACAAUAGCGAAGGCACCUUACGAGAACGGAUCUGACAGUGAGGGAUGAAGGCUAGGGGGCGCAAAUUGGAUUAGAAUACCCAAGUAGUCCUAGCAGUAAA